UACCAGCACCCCGAGUGGUCGGGACGUUUUAUUGGGCCUAAAGCAUCCGUAGCCGGUUCUACAAGUCUUCCGUUAAAUCCACCUGCUUAACAGAUGGGCUGCGGAAGAUACUAUAGAGCUAGGAGGCGGGAGAGGCAAGCGGUACUCGAUGGGUAGGGGUAAAAUCCGUUGAUCCAUUGAAGACCACCAGUGGCGAAGGCGGCUUGCCAGAAUGCGCUCGACGGUGAGGGAUGAAAGCUGGGGGGAGCAAACCGG
rnacentral:rRNA from 1 species